CGACCAGACUCCUACGGGAGGCAGCAGUGGGGAAUAUUGCACAAUGGGGGGAACCCUGAUGCAGCGACGCCGCGUGAGUGAAGAAGUAUUUCGGUAUGUAAAGCUCUAUCAGCAGGGAAGAAAAUGACGGUACCUGACUAAGAAGCCCCGACUAACUACGUGCCAGCAGCCGCGGUAAUACGUAGGGGGCAAGCGUUAUCCGGAUUUACUGGGUGUAAAGGGGGCGCAGACGGCGAUGCAAGCCAGGAGUGAAAGCCCGGGGCCCAACCCCGGGACUGCUCUGGAAACUGCGUCGCUGGAGUACGGGAGGGGCAGGCGGAAUUCCUGGUGUAGCGGUGAAAUGCGUAGAUAUCAGGAGGAAUACCGGCGGCGAAGGCGGCCUGCUGGACCGUGACUGACGUUGAGGCUCGAGAGCGUGGGGAGCAAACAGGAUUAGAUACCCUGGUA
rnacentral:rRNA from 1 species